GGCGAACGCUGGCGGCGUGCUUAACACAUGCAAGUCGAACGGAAAGGCCCCCACCUUGGUGGGGGUGCUCGAGUGGCGAACGGGUGAGUAACACGUGGGUGAUCUGCCCUGUACUUCGGGAUAAGCUUGGGAAACUGGGUCUAAUACCGGAUAGGACCAUGGUUUAGUGUCUCAUGGUGGAAAAAUUAUUGUUUUGGUGCAGGAUGAGCUCGCGGCCUAUCAGCUUGUUGGUGGGGUAAUGGCCUACCAAGGCGUCGACGGGUAGCCGGCCUGAGAGGGUGGACGGCCACAUUGGGACUGAGAUACGGCCCAGACUCCUACGGGAGGCAGCAGUGGGGAAUAUUGCACAAUGGGCGCAAGCCUGAUGCAGCGACGCCGCGUGGGGGAUGACGGCCUUCGGGUUGUAAACUCCUUUCGUUAGGGACGAAGCCACACCUUUUUUGGGUGUGGUGACGGUACCUUUGUUAAGAAGCACCGGCUAACUACGU
rnacentral:rRNA from 1 species